GUACUACUCCCUCCGUUCCAAAUUACUUGUCGCAGAAAUGGAUGUAUCUAGAACUAAAAAAUGUCUAGAUACAUCCAUUUCUACGUCAAGUAAUUCCGAACGGAGGGAGUACAUA
rfam:Triticum aestivum genome assembly, contig: Triticum_aestivum_CS42_TGACv1_scaffold_225390_3B